CGGAACGUACCCUGUCGUGGGGGAUAACACAGCGAAAGCUGUGCUAAUACCGCAUACGACCUGAGGGUGAAAGCGGGGGAUCGCAAGACCUCGCGCGAUAGGAGCGGCCGAUAUCGGAUUAGCUUGUUGGUGAGGUAAAGGCUCACCAAGGCGACGAUCCGUAGCUGGUCUGAGAGGACGACCAGCCACACUGGAACUGAGACACGGUCCAGACUCCUACGGGAGGCAGCAGUGGGGAAUUUUGGACAAUGGGGGCAACCCUGAUCCAGCCAUUCCGCGUGAGUGAAGAAGGCCUUCGGGUUGUAAAGCUCUUUCAGCAGGAACGAAACGGUGGCUACUAAUACUAGCUACUAAUGACGGUACCUGAAGAAGAAGCACCGGCUAACUACGUGCCAGCAGCCGCGGUAAUACGUAGGGUGCGAGCGUUAAUCGGAAUUACUGGCGUAAAGCGUGCGCAGGCGGUUAUGUAAGACAGGUGUGAAAUCCCCGGGCUUAACCUGGGAACUGCGCUUGUGACUGCAUAACUCGAGUGUGGCAGAGGGGGGUGGAAUUCCACGUGUAGCAGUGAAAUGCGUAGAGAUGUGGAGGAACACCGAUGGCGAAGGCAGCCCCCUGGGUCAACACUGACGCUCAUGCACGAAAGCGUGGGGAGCAAACAGGAUUAGAUACCCUUGUAGUCCACGCCCUAAACGAUGCGAACUAGGUGUUGGGGAAGGAGACUUUCUUAGUACCGCAGCUAACGCGUGAAGUUCGCCGCCUGGGGAGUACGGUCGCAAGAUUAAAACUCAAAGGAAUUGACGGGGACCCGCACAAGCGGUGGAUGAUGUGGAUUAAUUCGAUGCAACGCGAAAAACCUUACCUACCCUUGACAUGUCAGGAAGUCCGCUGAGAGGUGGAUGUGCUCGAAAGAGAACCUGAACACAGGUGCUGCAUGGCUGUCGUCAGCUCGUGUCGUGAGAUGUUGGGUUAAGUCCCGCAACGAGCGCAACCCUUGUCAUUAAUUGCCAUCAUUCAGUUGGGCACUUUAAUGAGACUGCCGGUGACAAACCGGAGGAAGGUGGGGAUGACGUCAAGUCCUCAUGGCCCUUAUGGGUAGGGCUUCACACGUCAUACAAUGGUCGGUACAGAGGGUCGCCAACCCGCGAGGGGGAGCCAAUCCCACAAAGCCGAUCGUAGUCCGGAUCGCAGUCUGCAACUCGACUGCGUGAAGUCGGAAUCGCUAGUAAUCGUGGAUCAGCAUGUCACGGUGAAUACGUUCCCGGGUCUUGUACACGCCGCCCGUCACACCAUGGGAG
rnacentral:rRNA from 1 species